rnacentral:tRNA from 1 species
GCUCAAUCGCUAGCUCAAUCGGUAGAGUGAGACUCUUAAUCUCAAGGUUGUGGGUUCGACCCCCACGUCGGGCU